CUGCUGAAUGUAAUGUAACCAUUAUUAUUAUCAUUAUAACUAUUAAUUUAUAAUAAAUAUUAUUAUUAUAUUUAAAUAUAAUUAUAAUAAAACCUACAAUGAACCUACUGAAAUGUAUACAUUUAAAGAAAAAGUGCAUAUUUUAGAUACUAUAUUAUUAAAAAAUGUCUUUGUGGUUUUUGUCCAAACAUUCAAUGUCAAUGGGGUCCCAUUUAGAAUCUGCUGACUUAUUAUAUGGACAAAAACUGUUUAAAUAUUCACUAAAAUAUCUUCUUUUGUGUUCCACAGAAGAAAAAAAGUUAUUCAACUGUUGAAAAAGAUGUUAUCCCCCCACCCCCCACAUCAAACAAACACACACAAAAAACUUAUGUUUACAGGGAUUGUGUAGAUUUAAUGUUAUGACAUUUUUUACACCAGUGGUGCCCAUUUUGAUGAUCUUGCCCAGGACCCCACCACAAAGACGUAGGAAGCAGAGUAAGAGUGGAAGUGAAGCAGUUUUCGGUGCUGCUGCUGACGUUGUGAAUCUGUGGACAUUUGGAUCCUAUAACAUAGGCCAAACCUGAUCCACACACAGUGGCAAAAGAUCUCUGUGCAUCAUCGUUUGGGAGCGAUCUGAA
ensembl:lncRNA